rnacentral:rRNA from 1 species
GAUGAACGCUAGCUACAGGCUUAACACAUGCAAGUCGAGGGGAAACGAUAGAGAAAGCUUGCUUUUUCUAGGCGUCGACCGGCGCACGGGUGAGUAACGCGUAUCCAACCUGCCCAUCACUUGGGGAUAACCUUGCGAAAGUAAGACUAAUACCCAAUGACGUCUCUAGAAGACAUCUGGAAGAGAUUACAGAUUUAUCGGUGAUGGAUGGGGAUGCGUCUGAUUAGCUUGUUGGCGGGGUAACGAACCACCCAGGCGACGAUCAGUAGGGGUUCUGCGAGGAAGGUCCCCCACAUUGGAACUGAGACACGGUCCAAACUCCUACGGGAGGCAGCAGUGAGGAAUAUUGGUCAAUGGACGAGAGUCUGAACCAGCCAAGUAGCGUGCAGGAUGACGGCCCUAUGGGUUGUAAACUGCUUUUAUAAGGGAAUAAAGUGAGUCUCGUGAGACUUUUUGCAUGUACCUUAUGAAUAAGGACCGGCUAAUUCCGUGCCAGCAGCCGCAGUAA